rnacentral:lncRNA from 1 species
CUGCUGGUGGGUUAGAAGUGUUGGCAUUGUGUAUGGUUGCUUUAAUGUACAUUCCUUUUCGAAAGUUGGUGUCCUGGGGUGGCCUUUACCCUUAUUGGCUCUUCCUUUAAAACAUCCAAUUUUGGCUGCUCUCAUCUUUCCUUCUCUUCAAUGUGCUUGCAUGGUGAGACUAUAAACUUUUGGCUCAAGUCUAAUUACAUAGCUAUAUAUUGUUGUAUUCUAGGGCUGAGAUUCUAGUAUCCAACCCAUUCUGGGAGUCUAAUUAUGAACUGGGUUCUCAUACUCCAUUUUCCUUUGGAGGUAGCAUCGUUACAAGCUUAAGGGUGUAGUGGAUGAAGAUUCAUCUCUUCUACUCAAAAAUAUAGAGUAUACAUAGUUUUUUCUUAUUUUUAAUUUAAAACAAAUUUAACUG